UCCUACGGGAGGCAGCAGUCGGGAAUUUUGGACAAUGGGCGCAAGCCUGAUCCAGCCAUGCCGCGUGGAUGAUGAAGGCCUUAGGGUUGUAAAAUCCUUUCGUCAGGGACGAUAAUGACGGUACCUGAAGAAGAAGCCCCGGCUAACUUCGUGCCAGCAGCCGCGGUAAU
rnacentral:rRNA from 1 species